UCAGGGAAGAACAGAAUGACGGUACCUGAGGAAUAAGCAUCGGCUAACUCCGUGCCAGCAGCCGCGGUAAUACGGAGGAUGCAAGCGUUAUCCGGAAUGAUUGGGCGUAAAGGGUCCGCAGGUGGCAUUGUAAGUUUGCUGUUAAAGAGUUUGGCUCAACCAAAUAAGAGCAGUGGAAACUACAAAGCUAGAGUGUGGUCGGGGCAGAGGGAAUUCCUGGUGUAGCGGUGAAAUGCGUAGAUAUCAG
rnacentral:rRNA from 1 species